UUCCGGUUGAUCCUGCCGGAGGCCACUGCUAUUGGGGUCCGCCUAAGCCAUGCGAGUCGACCGGGCUUCCUCCUUCGGGAGGGAAGUAGGGGCGGACGGCUCAGUGACACGUGGGUAAUCUACCCUCGGGUCGGGGAUAACCCCGGGAAACUGGGGCUAAUACCCGAUAGGGGGAGAGGUCUGGAAGGAUCCUCCUCCGAAAGCUCCGGCGCCCGAGGAUGAGCCUGCGGCCGAUUAGUUUGUUGGUGGUGUAACGGACCACCAAGCCUGCGAUCGGUACGGGCAGUGGGAGCUGUCGCCCGGAGAUGGGGGCUGAGACACGGCCCCAGGCCCUACGGGGCGCAGCAGGCGCGAAAACUCCGCAAUGCUCGCAAAAGCGACGGGGGGACCCCAAGUGUCAUGNCUUCG
rnacentral:rRNA from 1 species